rnacentral:rRNA from 1 species
CCUACGGGUGGCUGCAGUGGGGAAUAUUGGACAAUGGGCGAAAGCCUGAUCCAGCCAUGCCGCGUGUGUGAAGAAGGCCUUCGGGUUGUAAAGCACUUUCAGUGGGGAAGAAAGCCUUGGGGCUAAUACCCUCGAGGAAGGACAUCACCCACAGAAGAAGCACCGGCUAACUCCGUGCUAGCAGCCGCGGUAAUACGGAGGGUGCGAGCGUUAAUCGGAAUUACUGGGCGUAAAGCGCGCGUAGGCGGUCUGAUAAGCCGGUUGUGAAAGCCCCGGGCUCAACCUGGGAACGGCAUCCGGAACUGUCAGGCUAGAGUGCAGGAGAGGAAGGUAGAAUUCCCGGUGUAGCGGUGAAAUGCGUAGAGAUCGGGAGGAAUACCAGUGGCGAAGGCGGCCUUCUGGACUGACACUGACGCUGAGGUGCGAAAGCGUGGGUAGCAAACAGGAUUAGAUACCCCAGUAGUC